UAAAGCGUGCGCAGGCGGUUAUAUAAGACAGAUGUGAAAUCCCCGGGCUCAACCUGGGAACUGCGUUUGUGACUGUAUAACUUGAGUGUGGCAGAGGGGGGUGGAAUUCCACGUGUAGCAGUGAAAUGCGUAGAGAUGUGGAGGAACACCGAUGGCGAAGGCAGCCCCCUGGGUCAACACUGACGCUCAUGCACGAAAGCGUGGGGAGCAAACAGGAUUAGAUACCCUGGUAGUCCACGCCCUAAACGAUGCGAACUAUGUGUUGGGGAAGGAGACUUUCUUAGUACCGCAGCUAACGCGUGAAGUUCGCCGCCUGGGGAGUACGGUCGCAAGAUUAAAACUCAAAGGAAUUGACGGGGACCCGCACAAGCGGUGGAUGAUGUGGUUUAAUUCGAUGCAACGCGAAAAACCUUACCUACCCUUGACAUGUCUGGAAUUCCGAAGAGAUUUGGAAGUGCUCGAAAGAGAGCCAGAACACAGGUGCUGCAUGGCCGUCGUCAGCUCGUGUCGUGAGAUGUUGGGUUAAGUCCCGCAACGAGCGCAACCCUUAUCAUUAGUUGCUACGCAAGGGCACUCUAAUGAGACUGCCGGUGACAAACCGGAGGAAGGUGGGGAUGACGUCAGGUCAUCAUGGCCCUUAUGGGUAGGGCUACACACGUCAUACAAUGGCCGGUACAGAGGGUUGCCAACCCGCGAGGGGGAGCUAAUCUCAGAAAACCGGUCGUAGUCCGGAUCGCAGUCUGCAACU
rnacentral:rRNA from 1 species